GCACCACAACGGGUGGAGCUUGCGGUUUAAUUGGUAUUCAACGACCGGAAAUCUUACCGGGACCGACAGCAAUAUGAAGGCCAGGCUGAAGACUUUGCCGGAUUAGCUGAGAGGGUGGUGCAUGGCCGUCGUCAGUUCGUACUGUGAAGCAUCCUGUUAAGUCAGGCAACGAGCGAGACCCACGCCCACAGUUGCCAGCGUACUCUCUGGAGUGACGGGUACACUGUGGGACCGCCGCUGCUAAAGCGGAGGAAGGAAUGGGCAACGGUAGGUCAGUAUGCCCCGAAUAUCCCGGGCUACACGCGAGCUACAAUGGUUGGUACAAUGGGUAUCUACCCCGAAAGGGGACGGGAAUCUCCUAAAACCAAUCUUAGUUCGGAUUGAGGGCUGCAACUCGCCCUCAUGAAGCUGGAAUCCGUAGUAAUCGCGUUUCAACAGAACGCGGUGAAUACGUCCCUGCUCCUU
rnacentral:rRNA from 1 species